UACGAAGGGGGCUAGCGUUGCUCGGAAUCAUUGGGCGUAAAGCGCGCGUAGGUGGCCCGGUAAGUCCGCUCUGAAAGUCACAGGCUCAACCUGUGAAAGCGGGUGGAUACUGCCGGGCUAGAGUCCGGAAGAGGCGAGUGGAAUUCCUGGUGUAGCGGUGGAAUGCGCAGAUAUCAGGAGGAACACCGAUAGCGAAGGCAGCUCGCUGGGACGGUACUGACGCUGAGGCGCGAAAGCGUGGGGAGCGAACAGG
rnacentral:rRNA from 1 species